rnacentral:rRNA from 1 species
AUGGAUCUGAUCUCAUUGCCCGUCAUGAUGAUGGCAACCAUAUGGACUUCGAAGCUGGUGGUAGGCCAUGAUCCUAUGAGGAGACAAGUGAAAGGGGGUCAAUAUUGGAAAAGGCCUGGAAAGGAUCAGUCGACGUCGGGGGGGGGGGGCAAGCUGCCGCUUGUCAUUCCAGAAGGGAGGUUAAGGCCGGAGACACCUCUUCUUGCUGCAAAGUUUGCCACCGAAUGCAAUGUCACAGUCAGAGGCCAUGUGCCUGUGUUUAAACGCUGGAAGGAUUACAAGGACCCAGGCGGAAAUGUCCGAGAAGGGAUCUUCCAGAACUUUGUAGGCAAAGUUGGUAACAAAUUUGAGAUGGACGUAAAAGGUGUGCCCGUUAGGAAGGCUUGUACGCAAAUGUUGAAAGCCAAUACAUGUCUUUUGCACUUAAUGGGAGACAAAUACAAGGAGAAAGAACCCACUACACUGGAUUUAUUCAAAGAGUGCCACUACAGCAGCAAAAAGAAAGGCUACACCGAUGAUGUGCAAGCUGCAAUUGAUGAAAUGGAAGAGAAAGCUACUCAACCUACAAAAGAUGGCCAACAAUCCAACUCUGCAACCAAGGCUGUGGCUGAAGUUCUUACUAAGCACACUAAGAAGCCAAUGUUUCUUAAGCAUGUGGGGGUCCAGCACGUGCAUGAGAGAUCCAGUCAUAGCGACCGUGAGGCAGAACAGGAAGCGCAGAAGAGGGGAAAUGCUGAGCUUCGGGCCCUUGUUGAAACCUUGAACAAUAAGUUACAGGAAUCAGAAGAAGCAAGGAUCAGGCAAGAAGAAGAAAGGACCAAGCAAGAAGAGGAGAACAGGAAAAAGCAAGCUGAGCUGGAAGCUAAAUUAGACUUUUCACUAAAUCUAAUUCAUCCAAGAUAA